AUGGUUGUCGUCAGCUCGUGUCGUGAGAUGUUGGUUAAGUCCGCAACGAGCGCAACCCUAUGUUAGUUGCCAUCAUUCAGUUGGGCACUCUAGCGAGACUGCCGGUAAUAAACCGGAGGAAGGUGGGGAUGACGUCAAAUCAUCAUGCCCCUUAUGACCUGGGCUACACACGUGCUACAAUGGUUGGUACAACGAGUUGCGAGUCGGUGACGGCGAGCUAAUCUCUUAAAGCCAAUCUCAGUUCGGAUUGUAGGCUGCAACUCGCCUACAUGAAGUCGGAAUCGCUAGUAAUCGCGGAUCAGCACGCCGCGGUGAAUACGUUCCCGGGCCUU
rnacentral:rRNA from 1 species